AACGAACGUUAGCGGCGCGCCUAAUACAUGCAAGUCGUGCGAGAAAGGGCUUCGGCCCAGUAAAGCGGCGCACGGGUGAGUAACACGUAGGUCAUCUCCCCUCGAGUGGUGGAUAACCCUCCGAAAGGAGGGCUAAUACAGCAUGAGACCACGGCCUUGUUGAGGCAGCGGUCAAAGCAGGCCACUACAUGUAAGCUUGCGCUUGAGGAUGAGCCUGCGGCCCAUCAGCUUGUUGGUAGGGUAACGGCCUACCAAGGCUAAGACGGGUAGCUGGUCUGAGAGGAUGAGCAGCCACACUGGAACUGAAACACGGUCCCAGACUCCUACGGGAGGCAGCAGUAGGGAAUCUUGCGCAAUGGACGAAAGUCUGACGCAGCGACGCCGCGUGAGCGAUGAAGGCCUUCGGGUCGUAAAAGCUCUGUGGGGAGAGACGAAUAAGGUAUGGCUAAUAUCCAUGCCGAUGACGGUAUCUCCUUAGCAAGCACCGGCUAACUCUGUGCCAGCAGCCGCGGUAAGACAGAGGGUGCGAACGUUGUUCGGAAUUACUGGGCGUAAAGCGCGUGUAGGCGGCAGCGUGUGUCGGGCGUGAAAUCCCACGGCUCAACCGUGGAAGUGCACUCGAAACUACGCAGCUAGAGUCCUGGAGAGGAAGGUGGAAUGCUUGGUGUAGAGGUGAAAUUCGUAGAUAUCAAGCGGAACACCGGUGGCGAAGGCGGCCUUCUGGACAGUGACUGACGC
rnacentral:rRNA from 1 species